rnacentral:rRNA from 1 species
ACACACACACACAACAAAAAAAACCAAAAUGAAACAAACAAACAAACAAAAAAACCCAACACAAAACAAAAAGAAACAGAAGGUCCUCCAGAGAUCCUAAGGAGGUGAAAAGAUGGGGAUAACUUAGGAACUUAUACUCCUGUAUCCAGACAGACAGANNNNACACACACACACUCACACACACACACACACACAGAGAGAGAGAAAGGCUAAGGGCACACUCAGUGUCGGUUAUGGCACACACCUGGGACUGGGGUUCAGAUCUCUGUGACAAACCACUGCAGCACCACUACGGUAGUAACAGCAGUUUUAAAAAAUGCACAGUAAGGGGCUAGAGAGGUGGCUCAGCAUUUAAGAGCACUGGCUCACAACCAUCUAUUGUUUUUUUUUUAAUGCACAAUGAGUCCAACAUUACACACACAAGAGACUCAGCACCCAUCAGCACGGGGUCAGCGGCGAUGUCUGCUACCCACCAGACCCGUCUUAAACACAGACCAAGGAGUCUAACAUGUGCUCAAGUCAGGGGCUCGUCUGAAAGCCGACGUAGCGCAAUGAAGGUGAAGGGCCCCGACCGGGGCCCGAGGUGGGAUCCUGAGGCCUCUCCAGUCUGCUGAGGGCGCACCACCGGCCCAUCUCACCUGCCCCGCCGGGGAGGUGGAGCACGAGCAAUGCAUUAGGACCCAAAAGAUGGUGAACUAUGCCUGGGCAGGGUGAAGCCAGAGGAAACUCUGGUGGAGGUCCGUAGCGGUCCUGACGUGCAAAUCGGUCGUCCGACCUGGGUAUAGGGGCGAAAGACUAAUCGAACCAUCUAGUAGCUGGUUCCCUCUGAAGGUUCCCUCAGGAUAGCUGGAGCUCUCGCAAUGUGUUGUUCUUCCCGAACCCAUGCAGUUUUAUCCGGUAAAGCAAAUGAUUAGAGGUCUUGGGGCCAAAAUGAUCUCAACCUAUUCUCAAACUUUAAAUGGGUAAGAAGUCCGGCUCGCUGGCGUGGAGCUGGACCUGGAAUGCGAGUGCCUAGUGGGCCACUUUUGGUAGGCAGAACUGGCCCUGCGGGAUAAACCAAAUGCCGGGUUAAGGCGCCCAAUGCCGACACUCAUCAGACCCCAGAAAAGGUGUUGGUUGAUAUAGACAGCAGGACGGUGGCCAUGGAAGUUGGAAUCCGCUAAGGAGUGUGUAACAACUCACCUGCCGAAUCAACUAGCCCUGAAAAUGGAUGGUGCUNGCGCAUCGGGCCCAUACCCGGCCGUCGCCGGCAGUCGAAAUGGGAUGGGAGCGGCGUCGGGCCCCCCACGGACACUACGCCGCGAUGAGUAGGAGGGCUGCUGCGGUGAGCCUUGAAGCCUAGGGCGCAGGUCUGGGUGGAGCCGCUGGAGGUGCAGAUCUUGGUGGUAGUAGCAGAUAUUCAAACGAGAACUUUGAAGGCCAAAGUGGAGAAGGGUUCCAUGUGAACAGCAGUUGAACACAGGUCAGUUGGUCUUGAGAGAUGGGCGAGCACCAUUCCGAAUGGACGGGAGAUAGCCUCUGUUGCCCUCGGCCGAUCGAAAGGAAGUCGGGUUCAGAUCCCUGAAUCCAGCGUGGCGGAGAUGGGUGCUGUGAGGCAUCCAGUGCGGUAACGCAACCGAUCCCGGAGAAGCCGGCNGGAGCCCCGGGGAGAGUUCUCUUUUCUUUGUGAAGGGCAGGGCGCUCCGGAAUGGGUUCGCCCCGAGAGAGGGUCCCAUGCCUUGGAAAGCGUCACAGUUCCGGCGGCAUCCCGUGAGCUCUCGCUGGCCCUUGAAAAUCUGGGGGAGAGGGUGUAAAUCUCGCGCCGGGCCGUACCCAUAUCCGCAGCAGGUCUCCAAGGUGAACAGCCUCUGGCAUGUUGGAACAACGUAGGUAAGGGAUGUCGGCAAGCUGGAUCCGUAACUUCGGGAUAAGGAUUGGCUCUAAGGGCUGGGUCGGUCGGGCUGGGGCGCGAAGCAGGGCUGGGCGCACGCCACGGCUGGAUGAGGUGCCGCCGACCCCUCCCACGCCCGGGGCACCCCCGCGUCUCCCCCUCCUGGGGCCGCACCCCCCUCCUCCCUGUGGGGCCCCGCCAUUCCCACCUGGGGCGGCGGGUCCACCCUGCACAGGCUGGGAGGGGGAACCCGCCGGCCCCCGGGAGGGGCCUCGGGCCCGGGCACCUGGGAGGGCUGGUGGCAGCAGCAGUGACUCUGGACACGAGCUGGGCCCUUCCCGUGGAUCGCCCCAGCUGCGGCGGGCGUUGCGGCCGCACCUGGGGAGCCCAGCAGGCUCUGGUGGGCCCCAUCCUCCUCUGGUCAGCGUGGCGCGGCGCGGCGCAGGGGGGAGCGGGUGGGGGGGUCCCGGGUUUGGGGUUCUGGCCCCUCCUCCCGCUGGCCUCUUCCCCCCCUCCGCCAUCCAUUCUCCCGCGAGGGCGGAGGGUCGGGCCCGUGCUGGUCUUCCCCCGCCGGGUCCGCCCCCCGGGCCGCGGUUUUCCGCGCGGCGCCUCGCCUCGGCCGGCACCUAG